AUGCCCAUGUUCCAUGAGUUCUAUAUUGGAACAUUAGAUAUGGCUAGGUUUAACUAUGGUGUCAUAUCCCUGAUCCCCAACGUAGUUGCGGCAACGGAUAUUAGGCAAUUCCGACCCACCACGGUGAUCAACGUGUUGGAGCUAAUCUUUGCGAAGGUCUGCGCGACUCGUUUAUCCCCUAUGGCGAAAAGGAUUGCCCACCCCCUUCUGUCUGCGUUCCUGAAGGGUAGGCGGAUCCAUGAUGGGAUUCUUGCCCUUCACGAGAUCGUCCACGAGAUGGCGUCGAAGGGACUUAAGGGGGUCUUCCUCAAAUUGGACCUCCAGAAGGCGUAUGACUGUCUGGACUAG
rnacentral:rRNA from 1 species